rnacentral:misc_RNA from 1 species
UCCCAGCACUCAGGGUUAAUCCCAG